rnacentral:tRNA from 1 species
AGGGUAGAGCUCAGUGGUGGAGCACGUGUUUAGUAGACACCAGGUCCUGGGUUCAAUCCCCAGUGCCUCUA